GAGUUUGAUCUUGGCUCAGAUUGAACGCUGGCGGCAUGCCUUACACAUGCAAGUCGAACGGCAGCACGGGAGCUUGCUCCUGGUGGCGAGUGGCGAACGGGUGAGUAAUGCAUCGGAACGUAUCCUGGAGUGGGGGAUAACGUAGCGAAAGUUACGCUAAUACCGCAUAUUCUGUGAGCAGGAAAGCGGGGGACCUUCGGGCCUCGCGCUCUUGGAGCGGCCGAUGUCGGAUUAGCUAGUUGGUGAGGUAAAGGCUCACCAAGGCGACGAUCCGUAGCAGGUCUGAGAGGAUGAUCUGCCACACUGGAACUGAGACACGGUCCAGACUCCUACGGGAGGCAGCAGUGGGGAAUUCUGGACAAGUGGGGGCAACCCUGAUCCAGCCAUGCCGCGUGAGUGAAGAAGGCCU
rnacentral:rRNA from 1 species